rnacentral:rRNA from 1 species
UACGUAGGGGGCUAGCGUUGUCCGGAUUUAUUGGGCGUAAAGAGCGUGUAGGCGGCCAGAUAGGUCUGCUGUGAAAACUCGAGGCUCAACCUCGAGAUGUCGGCGGAAACCAUUUGGCUAGAGUCCGGAAGAGGAAAGUGGAAUUCCUGGUGUAGCGGUGAAAUGCGCAGAUAUCGGGAGGAACACCAGUGGCGAAGGCGGCACUCUGGGCCAGUAUUGACGCUGAGGAGCGAAAGCGUGGGGAGCGAACAGG